rnacentral:rRNA from 1 species
AGUGAACGCUGGCGGUAUGCCUAACACAUGCAAGUCGAACGGCAGCACAGUAAUAGCUUGCUCUGACGGGUGGCGAGUGGCGGACGGGGGGGGAAUACAUCUGAAUCGACUUUUUCGUGGGGGAUAACGGAGGGAAACUGACGCUAAUAUCUGAUACGACCGACGAGUGAAAGCAGGGGAUCUUCGGACCGUGGGCGAGUGAAUGAGCCGAAGUCGGAUUAGCUAGUGGGCGGGGUAAAGGCCCACCAAGGCCACGAUCCGAAGCUGGUCUGAGAGGGUGAUCAGCCACACUGGCACUGAGACACGGCCCACACUCCUGCGGGAGGACGCAGUGGGGACUCUUGGACAAUGGGCGCAAGCCUGAUACAGCAAUACGGCGUGAGUGAAGAAGGCCUUCGGGUUGUAAAGCCCUUUUGUUGGGAAAGAAAAGCAGCAGGUUAAUCACCCGCUGUUAUGACGGUACCUAAAGAAUAAGCACCGGCUAACUUCGUG